AUAAGUUUCGUCGCACACACCUCUGUUGUGAAUAAGUAGAAGAAAAAAAAAACACAACUACACGCUCUCAUCUCCUUCUCGCUCUCCGCCUCUCUCAUUCUCGUUCUCCACCUAUCUCCCUCUCUUCCAAGCAUAGAUCCUUCUUUGCCACUCUUGCCACAACCACUAAUGCUGACACACAAUUGAACCCGGUAAGGAUUUACUUUUCUUGUUCCUCUCUCAAAUCUCCCAUUUCCCUAACCCUAAUAUUUUUUGUCAUCUCUUAGUUUUUUCUUUUUGCUGCUAGAAAUUCAAAUUCAACCUCAUCCCUUCUCAUUCGGUAGGAUUAUUUGAGGAAUUAUCUUCUAAUUUGUUUUUUUCUUGGUGUUGUUUCAUCAUUUUUCCGCAAAUUUCAGUCUUAUCUAUUCUCCAUUAGUUCUCCCAAUGUUUAGGGGUUUUUUUUUUCUUUUCUAUGUUCAAUUUCAUCAUUAAUUGCUAUGCUGGCUUGGUUUUGUUUAUUUAUUCUUUAAUGCCACUGGUGACUCAAUUAGCAAGAGAAGCAGAAAUUUGGAGGUGGAUUAAUUGGAGAAGGAUGAGGAAGAAAGCAUUGUUGAAUGCAGAGACAAUAGCAGUGCUUUACUGAAGAAGCACGGCGUGGUCAGAAAAAGGUAAGAUUUGUAGAGGAAAGAGGAAGAACUGUUUGGAAAGGAAUGGUGAAUGAUGAGUAGAAGUCAGAGCAAGACGCAACAGAAAAUGAAAAGCAGGUCUCUAAGAAAAGUGAGAACGGGGUGUAGUUUAAAGGUAGAAGAUGAAGUGGGGCAUUCUGAUGACAUCAAUACAAGGAAAGGUUUGCGAAGAUGCAAGAGAGUAGGUUAUUUUCUUGGGCCAUAAAGGAUCAUACGAAGCAGGAAGAAAGAAAAGUAAAUAAGUAGUCCAAGAAAUCUAUUCAAGUGUUUGCCAAUUUGUCAAUGUCGUUGGCUCUUUCCAAGAAGUGACCAUUAUACUUAAGCACCAAAAAAACUAUUAUGAAGAAAUAGUGAAGUACGAUGGCAGGUUUAAGUACAGAUUUAAGGAGGUUUGUGACAAGAGGUGGAAGCAGAAGUUUGAAGACAAUUUUACAUUGUUUGUAUUAUCAUGAGGACUUUGACGUAGGAAUAUAGAACUUAUAAACGUUUGGACCAUGUAUAUAUGUUUCAUUAAUGUAAGUGAAAUACAUUCUUUGAUAUCUAAGUGUUUCUCAUUUUGUGAAUUAUGAAUUGUAUUGGUAUUGGAUUUUAUUUUAGUUUGAAA